UGCCAGCCGCCGCGGUAAUACGGAGGGAUCUAGCGUUAUUCGGAAUUACUGGGCGUAAAGCGAGCGUAGGCUGAUUUAUAAGUUGGAUGUGAAAUCCCAGAGCUUAACUCUGGAACUGCAUCCAAAACUAUAUUUCUUGAGUUUGGUAGAGGAGAGCGGAAUUCCUAGUGUAGAGGUGAAAUUCGUAGAUAUUAGGAGGAACACCAGUGGCGAAGGCGACUCUCUGGGCCAAUACUGACGCUGAGGUUCGAAAGCGUGGGUAGCGAACAGGAUUAGCUA
rnacentral:rRNA from 1 species